rnacentral:rRNA from 1 species
AUUGAACGCUGGCGGCAGGCCUAACACAUGCAAGUCGAACGAGUGGCGGACGGGUGAGUAAUGUCUGGGAUACUGCCUGAUGGAGGGGGAUAACUACUGGAAACGGUAGCUAAUACCGCAUACCCUCAGAUGUGCCCAGAUGGGAUUAGCUAGUGUGUGGGGUAAAGGCUCACCAAGGCGGCGAUCCCUAGGUGGUCUGAGAGGAUGACUAGCUAGACUGGAACUGAGACACGGUCCAGACUCCUAAGGGAGGCAGCAGUGGGGAAUAUUGCACGAUGGGGGAAAGGCGGAUGCAGCCAUGCCGCGUGUAUGAAGAAGGCCUUCGGGUUGGAAAGUAAUUUCAGCGGGGAGGCGUUACCCGCAGAAGAAGCCCCGGCUAACUCCGUGCCAGCAGCCGCGGUAAUAC